rnacentral:rRNA from 1 species
GUCGCCUGUUUAACAAAAACAUCGCUCCUUGAUUGUGAUUAUAUAAGGAGUCGGACCUGCCCGGUGACCUACGGGUUAAACGGCCGCGGUACACUGACCGUGCAAAGGUAGCACAAUCACUUGCCUUUUAAUUGGAGGCUGGUAUGAAUGGUUUGACGAGGGCUGAGCUGUCUCUCCUGGAAUAUUUAAAAAUUAACUUCUAAGUGAAAAGGCUUAGAUUUAGCUGAGGGACGAGAAGACCCUGUUGAGCUUUAGUGUGGAAUAAAAGGUUUAUUUUUAUUAGAAUAGAGGAUUUUAAGUUUAUUCUUACAUCUUUAGUUGGGGUGACUAGGGAACAUGGAAAGCUUCUCUGUUAAUUUGUAGAAAUUUGGUUUACUAACAAGUGAUCCAGCAUUGCUGAUUAUCGGAAAAAGUUACCACAGGGAUAACAGCGUAAUCUUUCUGGAGAGUUCACAUUGAAAGAAGGGUUUGCGACCUCCAUGUUGGAUUAAGGUGUCCUGAGGGUGUAGCAGCUUUCGUUGGUUGGUCUGUUCGACCAUUAAAACCUUACU